GACGAACGCUGGCGGCGUGCUUAACACAUGCAAGUCGAACGGAAAGGCCCUGCUUUUGUGGGGUGCUCGAGUGGCGAACGGGUGAGUAACACGUGAGUAACCUGCCCUUGACUUUGGGAUAACUUCAGGAAACUGGGGCUAAUACCGGAUAGGAGCUCCUGCUGCAUGGUGGGGGUUGGAAAGUUUCGGCGGUUGGGGAUGGACUCGCGGCUUAUCAGCUUGUUGGUGGGGUAGUGGCUUACCAAGGCUUUGACGGGUAGCCGGCCUGCGAGGGUGACCGGCCACAUUGGGACUGAGAUACGGCCCAGACUCCUACGGGAGGCAGCAGUGGGGAAUAGUGCACAAUGGGCGGAAGCCUGAUGCAGCAACGCCGCGUGCGGGAUGACGGCCUGCGGGUUGUAAACCGCUUUCGCCUGUGACGAAGCGUGAGUGACGGUAAUGGGUAAAGAAGCACCGGCUAACUACGUG
rnacentral:rRNA from 1 species